rnacentral:rRNA from 1 species
UACGGGGGGGGCAAGCGUUGUUCGGAAUUACUGGGCGUAAAGGGCUCGUAGGUGGCCAACUAAGUCAGACGUGAAAUCCCCAGGCUCAACUUGGGAACUGCGUCUGAUACUGGAUGGCUUGAAUUCGGGAGAGGGAUGCAGAAUUCCAGGUGUAGCGGUGAAAUGCGUAGAUAUCUGGAGGAAUACCGGUGGCGAAGGCGGCAUCCUGGACCGGCAUUGACGCUGAGGAGCGAAAGCCAGGGAGCAAAGCGGG